UGCUUUCGGAUCGCGUCUCAGUUCAGAGGAGAGAUGCAGAGCGACAGAGACACUCUAUCUAACGCGAGAGUGUUUAAUUUGAUUAAAUAUGACUCCUAAGUUCAUAUAAACUGAAGAAAUCAGAAUUUAACUUGCAUAUAUUCAAUGAUACAGCGUGAUUGUGUGGAUUGAGCACUUUUUGAGCUUUCAUUUUGACCUGGUGAGUUAUUUAUAAUUACCAAUGUUAUAAUUAGCCAUAAAAACGAAUGUCAACACUUUAAAUGUCAUAUCAUUUUAUUUGUUUAAUCCAUACGAGACAAAAUGGUGUUAUAUUGUGAUGUUAUAUGGGUUGGAUUGUUCAUUGCAGUGUGAUUUUGUAAAACCACAUGGUGCCUUGUGUUCACUGCCGUUCGCUGACGCCAUUUUGGUUGCACGUGCCUGUGAAAGACAAAAAGAGAGAGAAACACGUGAAUGGACAGCUGGAUUUUCCUAAUUGAUGGCGAGCCUCCCAUUUCGACCUGAUUGGAUCACGAAUCUAGAGGAAAGGACAAAUUUCUAUUUUAAAUAUUUUUCUUCAGACAAGUAAGAGGAUACAUUUCAGAAACUGUUUCCUUAUUUUGUUUGUUUACUUCAUUGAACUGAAACAUUUCAGAAGCACAAAUCUGAUAAUUUAAGACUGAUCAAUACUCCAAUUGAUAAGAACUUUGAACUUGAAUACGGAUUUCAGUGUGUUACAUAUAUAAUUUGUACCAUCUUUGUACAUUGAUUGUGACUGUGAUUUCUGUAAAUGAGAAGUAAUUUAGAGGGUGCACCCAUAGUAUAUAUCCCCCUUCUUCAAAUCUUACCCUGGAGGUCCGGAGCACUACAGAGUUUAGCUCCAACCCUGAUCAAACACACCUGAGCAAGCUAAUCAAGGUCUUCAUGAUCACUAGAAAAUCACAGGUGGGUAAGUUUGAUUAGGGUUGGAGCUAAACUCUGUAGUGCUCUGGACCUCCAGGGUAAGAUUUGAGGAACCCUGGUAUAUAUAGUUAAUUGUAUUUUCAUUGGUGUUUACUAUUUUUUUGUGAUUAAGGAAAGAAAAAGAAAGGUUUCUCAAUACUCAAAGUAAAAUAAUUUAUUAAUCAACUUACCUUCUGUCUCUGCUUGUUGCUCACUAUCACUGCUACGUCCUCCUUCGUACCGUGCACCCUUCUGAUCUUAUUAUUAUGCCUGGUCCAUAAGUAAGUGAGUUAAUACCCGCUACAUAAAGAAAGUACACUUUCAUGGCAAUAUUUCUAAACGCAUUUAAUAAAUGAUCAUUAGACUGAUGUGACCUACCAAAGACUUGUUAAUUUAAAGUUCAUGCAGUUCUUUUUUAGUUGUCUGUUAAAAUGUUAAAAAAUAAUUUGAGUUUAUUUUUUUCUAAGGGAUGUAAUUAUUCAAUAUUGAUAGUUGUUUGAUUCCAAUUUAACAAUAUUAAAAUGAGUUUUUUUUGUUUGGACAUAUACAACUCAUAAUUAAUUUAUUAAAUGUACUUUUGCAAAACAAAAAAUCUGACUACCAAACUGUUUUAUUGUCAGUGUAAGCAUUGUGGUUUUUGUUUGUUUGCAAUGCAUUAAACUGAAAUGAAUACA